CGGUAAAUAUAAAAUUCUUUACAAUUUUCGAUUCAAACCGUGGUCAGUCGAUGUGGAAUCGUUUGUUAGUUCCGAAUAUACUAAGUAAAACGUUUGUUAGAUCACGGUUUCGCUAAAAAAAAAACGAAAAACUGUAUAUCGUUUAGCUGCCGGAGAGUGGGGGUGAGACGUAGAAUAUGUGGUGGUUUUGGAACGCAUUACGUAAUAGUUUAUCAACACGGGAAACGUGCUUAACCUAUUUUCAAUUUAUUUAUCAGAUUUGUCGUCCAGUUCAUAUACAGAGAGGCGGAAAAGCCGCCGGUAUCAUUCUCAUUGAUUCGCAUUAAUUCUUGUACUUCCGGCGCAACCUACUGUGAUAAAUAUUCCGGAAUCUUUGGCAUAAUUUUACUACGACGCAGUUUACGAAUAUUCCGAACCGAGAAUAUUACGAACAGAGAAACCUCAACGGAGUAAAGUGAAUAAUACCAUAGAGAAAACAGUAAACGAAGUAAAUAUAUGCAGAGAAAUCGCGGACGGCUUGCGUAUAUAUUUCGAUUUCGCAUAUUACCUCAUCUCCUGUCAUAUAAUUUAGAAAAAGAGCAAUAUAUUUUUCUGUAAAAUCUUCCUUGCUAAGCAACGAACAAGCAAUCGUUAUUCCAAAGGAAGAAUUAAUGAGUAAAAUUAAGGCUAGUAUACAGAGUCGGUUCUUAUUUCAAGACAAUGGCUUAAGGUUGAUAAUAUGGCUCUGUUAUAUCUAACAAUCGAGUGAUUAGUUUAUAACAUCUCUCUCUCUCUUAAGAUUAUACUCCAGCCGGUCUUAAAUAUAAAAGAUCCGACAAUGAAAUACUACCCUACAACUUUAUUAAGUAUUCCAUUAAGAUCUACUGUGAGAAAUUGAUCAAUCACAAUCGAAUGACACUCGACGAGCUCCGGGCUUUCCCUAUCGAUGACGACGGUGAAUGUCUGCCAAGGAUAUGCGCCAGAAGAUGAACAAGAUCUUUUCAACAGAAAACUGAAUCGCCCAGCAUGCCGAGUAUUUUCCGCAAGAAGUAAACUCCCCUUUGUGUCUUAUAGCAAGAAAUUCUGUGUGAGAAAAUCGAGUAUCACGUCGGCAAGAGAUUCGCGAGUGCAAGCACAAAAAAUUGUUGUUAGACAUAAAUGUAUAAUGUUGUUUCAACGAAUGUUAACUUAUUUUUUUAUCGCGCUAGCUCUGUGAGUGACGUGUGAAUUAUUUUGUUUAAAUAUUAACACGGUCUGAGGAGUUUAGAAAUGAGAAAAUACGAAUGUUUUUUCACGUUUUGUAAAAUUCGGAUGUCCAUUGUGUCUGCACUCUUGCAGCGUUUGGAAUUUUCUCACUUUCUCAUGAUUUUCUUUAGGUAAAAGAAAAGAAAAAGAGUAAAUUUAAAACGCCACGAUUAACAGUAAUUAAUGUUUAAUUUCGAAGUCUGUCACUUUACAUAGUAAUAAACAAACGUCAUAGAUCAUAUAUCAUAUCAAAUUGUAUAUCGCAUAUCCGCAUAUACAUAUAUAUA